AUUGAACGCUGGCGGCAUGCUUUACACAUGCAAGUCGAACGGUAACAGGCCGCAAGGUGCUGACGAGUGGCGAACGGGUGAGUAAUGCAUCGGAACGUGCCCAGUCGUGGGGGAUAACUAUCCGAAAGGAUAGCUAAUACCGCAUACGAUCUGCGGAUGAAAGCGGGGGACCUUCGGGCCUCGCGCGAUUGGUGCGGCCGAUGUCAGAUUAGGUAGUUGGUGGGGUAAAGGCUCACCAAGCCAACGAUCUGUAGCUGGUCUGAGAGGACGACCAGCCACACUGGGACUGAGACACGGCCCAGACUCCUACGGGAGGCAGCAGUGGGGAAUUUUGGACAAUGGGCGCAAGCCUGAUCCAGCAAUGCCGCGUGCAGGAAGAAGGCCUUCGGGUUGUAAACUGCUUUUGUACGGAACGAAACGGCUCUGGUUAAUACCUGGGGCUAAUGACGGUACCGUAAGAAUAAGCACCGGCUAACUACGUGCCAGCCGCCGCGGUAA
rnacentral:rRNA from 1 species